UUUGGACUGCAUUCUUUAGAAUUUCUCUUGGUUGAGUUUUUAAACUUGAGCCAGAUGUGGCCCGCCUGCUUACUAACAAAUGACACCCGCUGCUGGGAAACUUCUCUGUAAGCCACUUGGCCCUUUCGGAGUUCAAGCGUAGCCUCCCUUACUCAGGAUUAAGGGAUUCUAAUCCAUUUCAGGUUGUAUCUUGAUUGUAGUGGCCCCCUAAGGAUUCGCAAGGCUUAUUAAUUAAGAGGUGCAAUGGUGGUUGUCUGCCUAGUAACUUAGUAAGGUCUAGAUCUGCUGAUUUUACUGCACCUUUUGCUUGCUGCAAUGGAAUUGGAGAAGGGUGUUUGUUCCAUGAAGGAAAGAGAUACUAUAUGGAAACAUUGUUUUUUAAUCCGAAAAAAUAUAUUUUAGCCUCUGGGUUCGUUAA